AGAGUUUGAUCCUGGCUCAGAUUGAACGCUGGCGGCAUGCUUUACACAUGCAAGUCGAACGGCAGCACGGGUGCUUGCACCUGGUGGCGAGUGGCGAACGGGUGAGUAAUGCACCGGAACGUACCCAGUAAUGGGGGAUAACACAUCGAAAGAUGUGCUAAUACUGCAUACGCCCUGAGGGGGAAAGCGGGGGAUCGUAAGACCUCGCGUUAUUGGAGCGGCCGAUGCCGGAUUAGCUAGUUGGUGAGGUAAGAGCUCACCAAGGCGACGAUCCGUAGCUGGUCUGAGAGGACGACCAGCCACACUGGGACUGAGACACGGCCCAGACUCCUACGGGAGGCAGCAGUGGGGAAUUUUGGACAAUGGGCGCAAGCCUGAUCCAGCCAUGCCGCGUGAGUGAAGAAGGCCUUCGGGUUGUGAAGCUCUUUCGCAAGGAAAGAAAACUUAUCUACUAA
rnacentral:rRNA from 1 species